rnacentral:rRNA from 1 species
AUUGAACGCUGGCGGCAGGCCUAACACAUGCAAGUCGAGCGGAUGAAGGGAGCUUGCUCCUGGAUUCAGCGGCGGACGGGUGAGUAAUGCCUAGGAAUCUGCCUGGUAGUGGGGGAUAACGUCCGGAAACGGGCGCUAAUACCGCAUACGUCCUGAGGGAGAAAGUGGGGGAUCUUCGGACCUCACGCUAUCAGAUGAGCCUAGGUCGGAUUAGCUAGUUGGUGGGGUAAAGGCCUACCAAGGCGACGAUCCGUAACUGGUCUGAGAGGAUGAUCAGUCACACUGGAACUGAGACACGGUCCAGACUCCGACGGGAGGCAGCAGUGGGGAAUAUUGGACAAUGGGCGAAAGCCUGAUCCAGCCAUGCCGCGUGUGUGAAGAAGGGCUUCGGAUUGUAAAGCACUUUAAGUUGGGAGGAAGGGCAGUAAGUUAAUACCUUGCUGUUUUGACGUUACCAACAGAAUAAGCACCGGCUAACUUCGU